UCAGGGAAGCACUUGUCGUAGCGCACGCCGCCAACCUCCUCGACGCCGCCGAGAGGAGUCCCGCCGCUGGAUCGUCAAUGCCCCGCCGGCACGACGGAGAGGAGGAGCCCCGCCGCCGCCAUCGAGGGGAGGAGCCACGCCGCCUGCUCACCGCGCCGCCUCCACCGCCCGACGCCUUCUCCCCGGUGCUCACGCGGUGCUGUGGUACGUGGAAGUCGAUGCAGAGUAGAGAGAUACCUCGCCUUCUUGUCCACCUCUUCAGAAGUGCCACCGCCUCGGACAUGACGACAUUAGAACCCAGUUCCUUUCAUAGAGAUAUGGGAUCAGGAAAACCCAGCAGUUCAUUUGUUCCUGCUAGUUAAACUUGGUCUGUUAUAGGGAUAUGCAGGUCCAUCUAAUUACAUGUUAUUCUGAAGCUGUUUGAGCAAUGGUGUGGUGGCAUUAGUCCGUAAUGCGUUGACAAUGGCCACUACUUCAGGCAUUGCUAGAUGCAUUUCUCUACUGCCAUGUUGUUUUGUAGUAGUUUUGCUAUGCAUAUUCUGGGAGCAAGUACAAUGAGGUUAUAUGUUAUUUUUGUUCACUUGA